CCUACGGGCGGCAGCAGUAGGGAAUUUUUCACAAUGGGCGAAAGCCUGAUGGAGCAACGCCGCGUGCAGGAUGAAGGCCUUCGGGUUGUAAACUGCUUUUAUAAGCGAGAAAUAUGAUGGUAAGUUAUGAAUAAGGAUCGGCUAACUACGUGCCAGCAGCCGCGGUCAUACGUAGGAUCCGAGCAUUAUCCGGAGUGACUGGGUGUAAAGAGUUGCGUAGGUGGCAUAAUAAGUAGCUAGUGAAAUCGGGUGGCUCAACCAUUCAGACUAUUAGCUAAACUGUUAAGCUCGAGACCGUUAGGGGUAACUGGAAUUUCUAGUGUAGGAGUGAAAUCCGUAGAUAUUAGAAGGAACACCAAUAGCGUAGGCAGGUUACUGGGACGGUUCUGACACUAAGGCACGAAAGCGUAGGGAGCAAACGGGAUUAGAUACCCCAGUAGUC
rnacentral:rRNA from 1 species